rnacentral:rRNA from 1 species
UACAGAGGGUGCGAGCGUUAAUCGGAAUUACUGGGCGUAAAGCGCACGUAGUCGGCUUUGCAAGUCGGUUGUGAAAUCCCCGGGCUCAACCUGGGAACUGCAUCCGAGACUGCAUUGCUAGAGUAUGGGAGAGGAAAGCGGAAUUUCUGGUGUAGCAGUGAAAUGCGUAGAUAUCAGAAGGAACAUCAGUGGCGAAGGCGGCUUUCUGGAC